UGGAGAGAUGGCUCAGCA
rnacentral:miRNA from 1 species